rnacentral:rRNA from 1 species
CCGGGGGUAGAGCACUGUUUCGGCAAGGGGGUCAUCCCGACUUACCAACCCGAUGCAAACUGCGAAUACCGGAGAAUGUUAUCACGGGAGACACACGGCGGGUGCUAACGUCCGUCGUGAAGAGGGAAACAACCCAGACCGCCAGCUAAGGUCCCAAAGUCAUGGUUAAGUGGGAAACGAUGUGGGAAGGCCCAGACAGCCAGGAUGUUGGCUUAGAAGCAGCCAUCAUUUAAAGAAAGCGUAAUAGCUCACUGGUCGAGUCGGCCUGCGCGGAAGAUGUAACGGGGCUAAACCAUGCACCGAAGCUGCGGCAGCGACGCUUAUGCGUUGUUGGGUAGGGGAGCGUUCUGUAAGCCUGCGAAGGUGUACUGUGAGGUAUGCUGGAGGUAUCAGAAGUGCGAAUGCUGACAUAAGUAACGAUAAAGCGGGUGAAAAGCCCGCUCGCCGGAAGACCAAGGGUUCCUGUCCAACGUUAAUCGGGGCAGGGUGAGUCGACCCCUAAGGCGAGGCCGAAAGGCGUAGUCGAUGGGAAACAGGUUAAUAUUCCUGUACUUGGUGUUACUGCGAAGGGGGGACGGAGAAGGCUAUGUUGGCCGGGCGACGGUUGUC